rnacentral:rRNA from 1 species
AAUGAACGUUGGCGGCGUGGAUUAGGCAUGCAAGUCGGACGAGAAUCUCCCGCAAGGGAGAGGACAGUGGCGAACGGAGCAGUAAGGCGUAGGCGACGUACCCUCCGGACCGGGAUAGUCAGGGGAAACUCUGAGUAAUACCGGAUGAUCUCUGCGAGCAUGAUCGUUUGCAGAGCAAAGGUGUGAUUCCACCGGUGGAGCGGCUUACGUAGUAUUAGCUUGUUGGUGAGGUAACGGCUCACCAAGGCGAUGAUGCUUAGGGGAUGUGAGAGCAUGAUCCCCGCUACUGGGACUGAGAUACUGCCCAGACACUUACGGGUGGCUGCAGUCGAGAAUCUUCGGCAAUGGGCGCAAGCCUGACCGAGCGACGCCGCGUGCGGGAUGAAGGCCCUUGGGUUGUAAACCGCUGUCAGAGGGGAUGAAGUGCCGGUGAGCUAUCUCAUCGGUUUGACAUAGCCUCAGAGGAAGCACGGGCUAAGUUCGUGCCAGCAGCCGCGGUAAAAC